AUGGGACCCUUUGCUCAGAAAGUCCCACCAAACUGGGCUUCACCUGCUGGAGGGGGUGGGGGACUUGAUGGCUAUAAGAGAUACUAUGGUCCCAUUGACCCUGAGGGACUGGGGCCCUGCAUGGAGCAGCAGGCAGGGUCCCAGACCCCCAAGACUAUGCCCAGGGGCCACCCCCAGCCUCCUCCAGCCAGUGUGGCAUUCUAUUCAGAGAAGGGCAUAGACCAUGGGGUGGGGAAGAGGGUGGUGGGAGGUGGCAGCGGAGGUCAGGGGAAGGGGGUCGUUAAACCUCUGGGCACUCCCAGAUUGCCUUCUAAGAGUCAGGCCCCUCUGCCUCCUACACCCCCGCUGCCACACCCCUCUCCCCCUCUCCCCUCAUCCUUCUGGAGGAAGCGUAGGCCCAAGAAGCCCAAAGAGCCUGGAGGGCCACUGUAUGAAAACAUUUUACCCCUGGGGCGGAGGGGAGGAGCACGAGAUGGAGUGAGAGAGGGAGGAGGGAGGAGGGCACGCCCCCUCUCUCCCCCGCUCUCACUUCCUGUGCCAGUACCCCUCAGCCCCUCUUACACCCCUCCUUCGCCCUCUGCAUCUUUGCACUAUACGUCCUCCUUGUCUUCGUCGACCACCUCAUCCACAUCCACGUCCUCAUCUGCCUCUUCUUCUCGCUCCACCUCUCCCACCUACUCUUACAGCUCCUCCAGGAGCACACGGGACAGGACUGGAGGUAUAGAUGGAGAGGAUGAUGAUGACGAUGAGGAGCUGACGGAAGAGUCAAGCCUCCUACUUGGCAGGGGGAGGGAGAGGGAACGCUCAAUCAUCCGGCCUCGCUCCCUCAGCCAGGGGCGCCUGCCACCACCCAUACCCCCCAGGAAACCACGCACAUCCUGGGGUGACAGAGAAAGGGAACGAGAGAGGGAGAGAGGAGGAAGCCAACUGUCUCAGCUCCAAGAGUGGUGGGCAAGCUGGAGUGAGAGAGAGAGGAGUGGAGCGGGUGGAGAUGCUGAGAGGCAAAAAAGGGAAAAGAAGAGAAGAAAAGAGAAGGAGAAAGAGAAGAAGAAGAAGAAAAAGAACAAAAAGAGGAAAAAGAGGGAAGAAAGGGAAAGAGAGCGAGAGAGAGAAAGGAAGCGGCGAAAGGUGAAAAAGAAGAAGAAAAAAGAGCUAAAGACACAGAAAAGGAAGAAAUCAAUUGGGGGAAGACGCUCUGAGCCAGAGGAGGGAGAUGUAGAGCCAGAGAGGGAAGGGGAGGCAGAAGGCGAGAGGGAAGGAGGAAUACAAGACUACUCCUCCUUCUCUGCCCAGUAUCGGAGCUCAUUUGGGGAGAAGGGACGGGAUUCAUGGGAAGGAGAAAGGGUAGAGAGAGGUAGGAGAGAAGGAGGAGAUGAGGGCAAUGAACAGGAGGAGAGCAGCAGAAGCAGGGAGAGGCGCCCAAAAUCCUCACGCUCUCAUUCCAGACAUCGUAUUCCCAGUAAGCGCUACCCUAACCUCAACAAACUCCCUGCAUCAGUCAAAUUUUGGGUGAAUGGGAGAGGAGAUGAUUCAAAUACUCCUCCAACAUCCCUCCACCCACUUCUUCCGUCCUCCAAGCGGAGAAGAAGUGAAGGGAUUAACAGAGAUGACAGCGGCAGAGUCGGAGAGCGGCGUCCUUUGUUAAUGCAUUAUGAAAAAGAGAAAGCACAGACAAGAGAAGGACCUACAUUCCCUGAGUGGGACUCUGAGGGUGACGAGGAUGAUGAUGAGGAAGAGGAGGAGAGGGAGAGACUGAGGGAGAGGGGAAGGAGAGUGGGCAGGGGGGCAGUGUCUGAGUCAGAGAGGGACAGGGCCAGGGUAGAGGACAGUUAUUCAGAUGAGGGCUCGUCAGGAGAGUUUGGUCGCUUUGAAAGAUACUGGGAAGGUGGUGCAGGGGGAAGCAGCACUGGAAUAGGGGGCAUAGGCGGAGGAGGCUGGUUCUUUGGCACCUACCCCUCCAGAGAGAAAGGGGGCAGUAUCAACAGUCGGGAUGAUUCCUUACUAGGUACUCGGACAGAGGGAUGGAUUGGUGCUGAUUUCUGGGGUUCAGGGCCAGGAGUAGGUUGGGGCUCAGGGGGAGGUAGUGGAGGGCUCGGCUCACAGUGGCCGCCACCCCCCACAGCCUUCCCUCCACCUAGGAGAUAUUGGUCCAUGGACAAGAUCCCUGUGAAGGGAGAGAAAAAGUGGAAGAGUGGAGGAGGGAAGAGCAAGGGGCGGUCUCGAGACAGAGGGGAAGAAGCAGGACGGGCCACCAUGUGUUCCUGUAGCCUUUACCCCCAACCCCAUCCUUACCCACAUCCUCACAGCCGCUCGCACACCUCCCACUCAAAGAGAGGAGCCACGGCACUUUCCCAUAGCCAGGAAGAGCUUCUCCCCCACUGCCACAGCUUCAGCGGGGGUUCUCGCCCCAAGCCUCUCCCCCCCAAACCAGAUCCCAGUCAGGCCAAAUCAGGCAGCCAAUCUAACCUCAGCCUCAGCACACAGCCCACAGACCAUCCACCUCAGCCCUCUCCGUCGCCACCCCAGCAGCCGUCCAUGUCUCCCACCUCUCUCCCGAUGCCCAUCCCCCCUCCGCCCUCCUCAUCCUCCAUCUCACCACCAGCAGGGGUAGGGAUGGUAGGCCAGGCUCAGGCUUCGGCCAGUGCCAAACUCCAGUAUCAGAGACUGCGCUCGGUGCCACAGCCACGGAGGUUUUACUCCCCCCACCUGCCACUCAAAGCCAAGAGCCUGUGCUCGCGCCGAGGGUCGGCCCACUUCUCCAGCCUGGAGAGCGAGGUAUGA
ensembl:lncRNA